rnacentral:rRNA from 1 species
AGCAAAACGCCCACCCUUGUGUAUUAUAUCUUUGUUGCUUCGGCAGGCCGCCUUCGGGCACCGGCUCCGGCUGGAUCGUGCCUGCCAAAGGAAACCCAAACUCUGAAUGUUAGUGUCGUCUGAGUACUAUCUAAUAGUUAAAACUUUCAACAACGGAUCUCUUGGUUCUGGCAUCGAUGAAGAACGCAGCGAAAUGCGAUAAGUAAUGUGAAUUGCAGAAUUCAGUGAAUCAUCGAAUCUUUGAACGCACAUUGCGCCCCGUGGUAUUCCGCGGGGCAUGCCUGUUCGAGCGUCAUUUAAACCAAUCCAGCUUGCUGGGUCUUGGGCUUUCGCCUCUGGGCGGGCCUUAAAAUCAGUGGCGGUGCCAUCUGGCUCUAAGCGUAGUAAUUUUUCUCGCUAUGGAGUUCCAGGUGGAGGCUUGCCAACCAACCCCUAAUUUUCAAAGGUUGACCUCGGAUCAGGUAGGGAUACCCGCUGAACUUAAGCAUAUCAA